rfam:Schistosoma mattheei strain Denwood, Zambia genome assembly, scaffold: SMTD_contig0020941
AUCCAGCUGAUGAGUCGCAAAUAGGACGAAUCACGUGUCCUGGUU